GGGAUUGCCUUAGUAACGGCGAGUGAAGCGGCAAAAGCUCAAAUUUGAAAUGCGUGGUACCUGUCGGGGCGGAGUGAAUUUGGAGAGGGCAACUUUGGGGCCGUUCCUUGUGGAAGUGCCUUGGAACAGGACGGCAUAGAGGGUGAGAAUCCCGUGUGGCGAGGAGUGCGGUUCUUUGUAAAGUGCCUUCGAAGAGUCGAGUUGUUUGGGAAUGCAGCUCUAAGUGGGUGGUAAAUUCCAUCUAAAGCUAAAUAUUGGCGAGAGACCGAUAGCGAACAAGUACAGUGAUGGAAAGAUGAAAAGAACUUUGAAAAGAGAGUGAAAAAGUACGUGAAAUUGUUGAAAGGGAAGGGCAUUUGAUCAGACAUGGUGUUUUGUGCCCUCUGCUCCUUGUGGGUAGGGGAAUCUCGCAUUUCACUGGGCCAGCAUCAGUUUUGGUGGCAGGAUAAAUCCAUAGGAAUGUAGCUUGCCUCGGUAAGUAUUAUAGCCUGUGGGAAUACUGCCAGCUGGGACUGAGGACUGCGACGUAAGUCAAGGAUGCUGGCAUAAUGGUUAUAUGCCGCCCGUCUUGAAACACGGACCA
rnacentral:rRNA from 1 species